UUCGGGUCGCCGGCGAGUGGCGAACGGGUGAGUAACGCGUAGAUACCUGUCCUAUGGUGGGGAAUAACGUUUAGAAAUGAACGCUAAUACCGCAUAAGCCCUGCGGGGGAAAGAUUUAUCGCCAUAGGAGGGGUCUGCGUCGGAUUAGCUUGUUGGUGGGGUAACGGCCUACCAAGGCGACGAUCCGUAGCUGGUCUGAGAGGAUGAUCAGCCACACUGGGACUGAGACACGGCCCAGACUUCUACGGGAGGCAGCAGUGGGGAAUAUUGCGCAAUGGGGGAAACCCUGACGCAGCGACGCCGCGUGGGUGAAGAAGGCCUUAGGGUUGUAAAGCCCUUUCAGUGGGAAAGAUGAUGACGGUACCCACAGAAGAAGCUCCGGCUAACUCCGUGCCAGCAGCCGCGGUAAUACGGAGGGGGCUAGCGUUGUUCGGAAUUACUGGGCGUAAAGGGCGCGUAGGCGGUUGAUCAAG
rnacentral:rRNA from 1 species